UACGGAGGGUGCGAGCGUUGUCCGGAAUCAUUGGGCGUAAAGGGCGCGUAGGUGGCCCGGUCAGUUCGUGGUGAAAGCGCGGGGCUCAACCCUGCGUCGGCCAUGAAUACUGCCGCGGCUGGAGCACUGUAGAGGCAGGCGGAAUUCCGGGUGUAGCGGUGGAAUGCGUAGAGAUCCGGAAGAACACCGGUGGCGAAGGCGGCCUGCUGGGCAGUGCUGGACACUGAGGCGCGACAGCGUGGGAGCAACA
rnacentral:rRNA from 1 species